rnacentral:rRNA from 2 species
GUCUACGGCCAUGCCAGUGAGAAAGCACCGGUUCUCGUCCGCGCUCAGUAGGGCGCGGUAAGUACUUGGAUGGGUGACCGCUUCGGAAUACCGUGUGCUGUAGGCA